GACGAACGCUGGCGGCGUGCUUAACACAUGCAAGUCGAACGGAAAGGCCCUGCUUUUGUGGGGUGCUCGAGUGGCGAACGGGUGAGUAACACGUGAGUAACCUGCCCUUGACUUUGGGAUAACUUCAGGAAACUGGGGCUAAUACCGGAUAGGAGCUCCUGCUGCAUGGUGGGGGUUGGAAAGUUUCGGCGGUUGGGGAUGGACUCGCGGCUUAUCAGCUUGUUGGUGGGGUAGUGGCUUACCAAGGCUUUGACGGGUAGCCGGCCUGAGAGGGUGACCGGCCACAUUGGGACUGAGAGACGGCCCAGACUCCUACGGUAGGCAGCAAUGGGGAAUAUGACACAAUGAGCGGAAGCCUGAUGCAGCAACGCCGCGUGCGGGAUGACGGCCUUCGGGUUGUAAACCGCAUUCGCCUGUGACGAAGCGUGAGUGACGGUAAUGGGUAAAGAAGCACCGGCUAACUACGUG
rnacentral:rRNA from 1 species